UACGGAGGGGGCUAGCGUUGUUCGGAAUUACUGGGCGUAAAGCGCGCGUAGGCGGACCUGCAAGUCGGGGGUGAAAGCCCGAGGCUCAACCUCGGAAUUGCCUUCGAUACUGCGGGUCUCGAGUCCGGGAGAGGUGAGUGGAAUUCCUAGUGUAGAGGUGAAAUUCGUAGAUAUUAGGAAGAACACCAGUGGCGAAGGCGGCUCACUGGCUCGGUACUGACGCUGAGGCGCGAAAGCGUGGGUAGCAAACGGG
rnacentral:rRNA from 1 species